rnacentral:rRNA from 1 species
GUGGGGAAUAUUGGGCAAUGGGCGCAAGCCUGACCCAGCAACGCCGCGUGAGGGAAGAAGGCUUUCGGGUUGUAAACCUCUGUCCUUGGUGACGAAAAAAAUGACGGUAGCCAAGGAGGAAGCCCCGGCUAACUACGUGCCAGCAGCCGCGGUAAUACGUAGGGGGCGAGCGUUGUCCGGAAUUACUGGGCGUAAAGGGUGCGUAGGUGGCCUUUUAAGUUGGAUGUGAAAUCCCCGGGCUUAACUUGGGUGGUGCAUCUAAUACUGGAGGGCUGGAGUGCAGGAGAGGGAAGCGGAAUUCCUAGUGUAGCGGUGAAAUGCGUAGAUAUUAGGAGGAACACCAGUGGCGAAGGCGGCUUUCUGGACUGUAACUGACACUGAGGCACGAAAGCGUGGGGAGCAAACAGGAUUAGAUACCCUGGUAGUCC